rnacentral:rRNA from 1 species
CCUACGGGAGGCAGCAGUGGGGAAUAUUGCGCAAUGGGCGAAAGCCUGACGCAGCGACGCCGCGUGAGGGAUGAAGGUCUUCGGAUCGUAAACCUCUGUCAGCAGGGAAGAACGGUCACUGUGCUAAUCAGCAGUGAAUUGACGGUACCUGCAAAGGCAGCACCGGCUAACUCCGUGCCAGCAGCCGCGGUAAUACGGAGGGUGCGAGCGUUAAUCGGAAUUACUGGGCGUAAAGCGCUCGUAGGCGGGAUGUCAAGUCAAGGGUGAAAUCCCCGCGGUCAACGGGGGAGCUGCCUUUGAACCUGGCAAAAUGGAGUGUGUGAGAGGAGAGUGGAAUUCCAGGUGUAGGAGUGAAGUCCG